CCACAUUGCAUGCCUUCCUGAACUAAAAUUGCAGUUAAACUUGUUAUUAAUUUCAGCUGCCAUUGAUCUUCAAAUUUCAAAGACUCGCACCGCUAAGCAAUUCUUUGUUCUUCUCUUUCAUGUAACUUGAAUUUUCAUCCCAAUUCCAAUUUUAAACGUUGGAUUUCAUAAUAAAAUUACCCAGAUUUAUUCCUCCGCUCAAUCAGGAAUUAUGUCUCUUGGAUGGAAUUUGCAAGCACAAGGGCGUAGUUUACAUGUUGGUUAUUGGCCCACCUUUGAUGGAAACAACAACAACAAUGACAACCGGAAACGAAGCAGGAACAACUUUUAUCACGGGAAUUAUAACUACUGGGCAGAACAUGGUGGCUAUUCUAAUGUUUACAACUUUGGUUAUGGUGAUUGUGUUCAGUAUGAUGAUGUCCCAUCAUCUUUGAAAAGGAGAAAACAUUCGGCUCCUAUUUGGGAAAACAGCCAGAAAUACUAUCUUCCAUCCACUGUCCAAGGCAAUAUCCCUUCAUCCAUAGACUUCCAAGCACCACCUCCUACAAAAUCCAAUGUUGAUACCUCUAUAUCACCUAUUUGCAAGCUUGAUUGUUCUAUAUUUGAAGAUAGUGAGCCGGUGUUUAUGUCAAGGGAUGAAAUUGAUAGAUGUUCUCCAUCAAGAAAAGAUGGUAUUGAUGUACUUCACGAGACACAGUUGCGCUACUCCUACUGUGCCUUCCUUCAGAAUCUUGGAAUGCGGCUUAACUUGCCUCAAACUACCAUCGGGACAGCCAUGGUUCUGUGCCACCGGUUUUUUGUUCGACGAUCACAUGCUUGCCAUGACAGAUUUUUGAUUGCUACUGCUGCCCUUUUUCUCACUGGAAAGUCAGAGGAAACACCAUGCCCUUUGAAUAAUGUGUUGCGAGCAUCUAGUGAAAUCUUAUAUAAACGAGAUUUUACUUUGCUGUCUUAUCUGCUUCCUGUUGAUUGGUUUGAAAAGUAUCAUGACCGGGUGCUUGAGGCUGAACUGUUGAUGCUUACCACUCUAAAUUUUGAACUCAAUGUGCAACAUCCAUAUGCAUCUCUUACAUCUGUUCUUGACAAAUUAGGCCCUUCAAAGACUGUUUUGAUGAAUCUGGCAUUAAACUUGAUCAGCAAAGGUGGUAGAGGAUUUAGUGAGUUAAUCUGUAGUGCAGAAUAAGAUGCAUUCAUCACAAGCAUUCCGAUUCACAUAUUAGCAAGGCUAUCCAGAUCAAAAUGUAGGGCAAAAGAUGUUGCAUUGGCAUUACCUUUGAAAGGUUCAAUUGUUUGCAACGUGAAGCACCCUAUGUAUGCUUUCUGAUUUUAGUAACAUAGAUUUCUGGAGUUUAAAGCCCCACAGCAUAUUUGGGCCUGGAAAUCUGAAAAUUUCUCUAGAUGAGUUAUGAGUAUAAGAAAAUGCUAUAGUUUGGUACCCUAUCAGCAAUUGUGCAGAGAUUCUUGGAAUAGUAUUCUUCCUGACUUGCUGCAUUUCUUGUUGGUAAGGAAAAGCUUCAGAGCUCUCUAUGGCUUCAGUAUAAACCCCAUCAAAUUGCUGCUGGAGCUGCAUAUCUUGCUUCAAAGUUUCUAAACAUUGAUCUUACUGCUUAUCACAAUAUCUGGCAAGAGUUUGAGGCAGCACCUUCCAUUCUUCGGGAUGUCUCGCAGCAAUUAAUGGAGCUCGUUUAAAUGUAUAAAGAACAUGAUUAUAGUGAUUUCUAGAUACAGAGUAGAGUACAUUUGGUGCUGUAUUCUGUUUUAAAAAAGACCUCAGAAAGAAACCGUAACAGAUUGUCUGUGCUGUUUAUGCUAUAGUUUAAAAUAUAAUUUGACGGACUACAUGUUGAGGGGUUGUGACCUACAGGGUUCAGUGUUUCAACUCCAUUAGUGUAUACUCGAUCUUGUGUUAUCUUUUGUAUUCAUUUAGUUGAUUAGUAGAUGCUUUGUUGUGAUCCCAUGUCAUGUAUAUACCAACAACGUGGCAAAGUUUAUUGGAGCAUUUGCAGUCAUGCAUACCAAAAUUGUUAAAUUUGAAAGUACAAAAAGCUGUCCGGUUUGAAAUUAAAAUUUAAACCUGUCGGAAUGAUUCAUAGUUGAAA